rnacentral:rRNA from 1 species
UACGUAGGGGGCAAGCGUUGUCCGGAUUUAUUGGGCGUAAAGAGCGUGUAGGCGGCUUCACAGGUCCGCUGUGAAAACUCGAGGCUCAACCUCGAGAUGUCGGUGGAAACCGUGUGGCUAGAGUCCGGAAGAGGAGAGUGGAAUUCCCGGUGUAGCGGUGAAAUGCGCAGAUAUCGGGAAGAACACCCGUGGCGAGGGCGGCUCUCUGGGACGGUACUGACGCUGAGACGCGAAAGCGUGGGGAGCGAACGAGGA